rnacentral:rRNA from 1 species
UGGGGAAUAUUGCACAAUGGGGGAAACCCUGAUGCAGCGACGCCGCGUGAACGAAGAAGGUAUUUGUAUCGUAAAGUUCUGUCCUAUGGGAAGAUAAUGACAGUACCAUAGAAGAAAGCUCCGGCUAAAUACGUGCCAGCAGCCGCGGUAAUACGUAUGGAGCGAGCGUUGUCCGGAAUUAUUGGGGGUAAAGGGUACGCAGGCGGUUUAAUAAGUCGAAUGUUAAAGAUCGGGGCUCAACCCCGCAAAGCAUUGGAAACUGAUAAACUUGAGUAGUGGAGAGGAAAGUGGAAUUCCUAGUGUAGUGGUGAAAUACGUAGAUAUUAGGAGGAAUACCAGUAGCGAAGGCGACUUUCUGGACACAAACUGACGCUGAGGUACGAAAGCGUGGGGAGCAAACAGG